rnacentral:piRNA from 1 species
UAUGAAAUUUUCUCAAGGACAUGAUGGC